GACGAACGCUGGCGGUGUGCUUAACACAUGCAAGUCGAACGAAGCUUGAUUACGGAUUCUUCGGAUGAAGUAUGAUAUGACUGAGUGGCGGACGGGUGAGUAACGCGUGAGUAACCUGCCCUUCAGAGGGGGAUAGCGUUUGGAAACGAACGGUAAUACCGCAUAAUGUAUUUUGACCGCAUGAUCGAAAUACCAAAGAUUUAUCGCUGAAGGAUGGACUCGCGUCUGAUUAGGUAGUUGGUGGGGUAACGGCCUACCAAGCCGACGAUCAGUAGCCGGACUGAGAGGUUGAUCGGCCACAUUGGGACUGAGACACGGCCCAGACUCCUACGGGAGGCAGCAGUGGGGAAUAUUGCACAAUGGGCGCAAGCCUGAUGCAGCAACGCCGCGUGAAGGAAGACGGUUUUCGGAUUGUAAACUUCUGUUCUUAGUGAAGAAUAAUGACGGUAGCU
rnacentral:rRNA from 1 species